CCACAUUCCGCCACGGCUAGCCCUCCCCGCGCCCCGGCCCCCUCGGCCUCGGCCUCGGCCAACUCGCGCUGCGCCUCCCCCUCUCCGGCUCCCCCUCUCUCCCCCCUCGCGGCUUGCCUCGCGCUCCCUCCCUCGCGUCUCCCUCCUGGCCCCUCUCUCCUCCGUUCCUCCGCGCUCCCUCCUUCUCCCUCUUCCUCCCUUCUCCCAUCCCCCUCUCCCAGGCUCCCUCCCUUCGCCGUCCGCUUUCCUGUGCGAGUCGCCGGACGCACCGCCCAGCCCGUCCGCAGCCCCGCGCCGGGUCGGGGCCUCGGGCCGGGCCAUUUCGGAGGGACCGCGGCUUCGGGGAGGGGCUAGGAGGGGGGAGAGGGAGCCGACUGCCGGGGAAGGGGC
rnacentral:lncRNA from 1 species